AGGGUUUGAUUCUGGCUCAGGAUGAACGCUGGCGGCGUGCUUAACACAUGCAAGUCGAGCGAAGCAGUUAAGAAGAUUCUUCGGAUGAUUCUUGAUUGACUGAGCGGCGGACGGGUGAGUAACGCGUGGGUGACCUGCCCCAUACCGGGGGAUAACAGCUGGAAAUGACUGCUAAUACCGCAUAAGCGCACAGGACCGCAUGGUCCGGUGUGAAAAACUCCGGUGGUGUGAGAUGGACCCGCGUUUGAUUAGCUAGUUGGUGGGGUAACGGCCUACCAAGGCGACGAUCAAUAGCCGACCUGAGAGGGUGACCGGCCACAUUGGGACUGAGACACGGCCCAA
rnacentral:rRNA from 1 species